AAAUUGAAGAGUUUGAUCAUGGCUCAGAUUGAACGCUGGCGGCAGGCCUAACACAUGCAAGUCGAGCGGUAGCACAGAGAGCUUGCUCUCGGGUGACGAGCGGCGGACGGGUGAGUAAUGUCUGGGAAACUGCCUGAUGGAGGGGGAUAACUACUGGAAACGGUAGCUAAUACCGCAUAACGUCGCAAGACCAAAGUGGGGGACCUUCGGGCCUCAUGCCAUCAGAUGUGCCCAGAUGGGAUUAGCUGGUAGGUGGGGUAACGGCUCACCUAGGCGACGAUCCCUAGCUGGUCUGAGAGGAUGACCAGCCACACUGGAACUGAGACACGGUCCAGACUCCUACGGGAGGCAGCAGUGGGGAAUAUUGCACAAUGGGCGCAAGCCUGAUGCAGCCAUGCCGCGUGUGUGAAGAAGGCCUUCGGGUUGUAAAGCACUUUCAGCGGGGAGGAAGGCGAUAAGGUUAAUAACCUUGUCGAUUGACGUUACCGCAGAAGAAGCACCGGCUAACUCCGUGCCAGCAGCCGCGGUAAUACGGAGGGUGCAAGCGUUAAUCGGAAUUACUGGGCGUAAAGCGCACGCAGGCGGUCUGUCAAGUCGGAUGUGAAAUCCCCGGGCUCAACCUGGGAACUGCAUUCGAAACUGGCAGGCUAGAGUCUUGUAGAGGGGGGUAGAAUUCCAGGUGUAGCGGUGAAAUGCGUAGAGAUCUGGAGGAAUACCGGUGGCGAAGGCGGCCCCCUGGACAAAGACUGACGCUCAGGUGCGAAAGCGUGGGGAGCAAACAGGAUUAGAUACCCUGGUAGUCCACGCUGUAAACGAUGUCGAUUUGGAGGUUGUGCCCUUGAGGCGUGGCUUCCGGAGCUAACGCGUUAAAUCGACCGCCUGGGGAGUACGGCCGCAAGGUUAAAACUCAAAUGAAUUGACGGGGGCCCGCACAAGCGGUGGAGCAUGUGGUUUAAUUCGAUGCAACGCGAAGAACCUUACCUGGUCUUGACAUCCACAGAACUUUCCAGAGAUGGAUUGGUGCCUUCGGGAACUGUGAGACAGGUGCUGCAUGGCUGUCGUCAGCUCGUGUUGUGAAAUGUUGGGUUAAGUCCCGCAACGAGCGCAACCCUUAUCCUUUGUUGCCAGCGGUUAGGCCGGGAACUCAAAGGAGACUGCCAGUGAUAAACUGGAGGAAGGUGGGGAUGACGUCAAGUCAUCAUGGCCCUUACGACCAGGGCUACACACGUGCUACAAUGGCAUAUACAAAGAGAAGCGACCUCGCGAGAGCAAGCGGACCUCAUAAAGUAUGUCGUAGUCCGGAUUGGAGUCUGCAACUCGACUCCAUGAAGUCGGAAUCGCUAGUAAUCGUAGAUCAGAAUGCUACGGUGAAUACGUUCCCGGGCCUUGUACACACCGCCCGUCACACCAUGGGAGUGGGUUGCAAAAGAAGUAGGUAGCUUAACCUUCGGGAGGGCGCUUACCACUUUGUGAUUCAUGACUGGGGUGAAGUCGUAACAAGGUAACCGUAGGGGAACCUGCGGUUGGAUCACCUCCUUA
rnacentral:rRNA from 1 species